GAGUUUGAUCGUGGCUCAGAUUGAACGCUGGCGGCAGGCCUAACACAUGCAAGUCGAGCGGAUGAAGGGAGCUUGCUCCUGGAUUCAGCGGCGGACGGGUGAGUAAUGCCUAGGAAUCUGCCUGGUAGUGGGGGAUAACGUCCGGAAACGGGCGCUAAUACCGCAUACGUCCUGAGGGAGAAAGUGGGGGAUCUUCGGACCUCACGCUAUCAGAUGAGCCUAGGUCGGAUUAGCUAGUUGGUGGGGUAAAGGCCUACCAAGGCGACGAUCCGUAACUGGCCUGAGAGGAUGAUCAGUCACACUGGAACUGAGACACGGUCCAGACUCCUACGGGAGGCAGCAGUGGGGAAUAUUGGACAAUGGGCGAAAGCCUGUUCCAGCCAUGCCGCGUGUGUGAAGAAGGUCUUCGGAUUGUAAAGCACUUUAAGUUGGGAGGAAGGGCAGUAAGUUAAUACCUUGCUGUUUUGACGUUACCAACAGAAUAAGCACCGGCUAACUUCGUGCCAGCCGCCGCCGUAAG
rnacentral:rRNA from 1 species